GUGCUCACUUCACCAGCACAUAUACUAAAAUUGGAAAGAUACAAAGAAGAUUAGCAUGGCCCCUGCUCAAGGAUGACAUGCAAAUUCAUGAGCAUUCCAUAAUAAAU
rnacentral:snRNA from 1 species